UGGGGAAUUUUGGACAAUGGGCGAAAGCCUGAUCCAGCAAUGCCGCGUGUGUGAAGAAGGCCUUCGGGUUGUAAAGCACUUUUGUCCGGAAAGAAAUCCUUGGCUCUAAUACAGUCGGGGGAUGACGGUACCGGAAGAAUAAGCACCGGCUAACUACGUGCCAGCAGCCGCGGUAAUACGUAGGGUGCAAGCGUUAAUCGGAAUUACUGGGCGUAAAGCGUGCGCAGGCGGUUUGCUAAGACCGAUGUGAAAUCCCCGGGCUCAACCUGGGAACUGCAUUGGUGACUGGCAGGCUAGAGUAUGGCAGAGGGGGGUAGAAUUCCACGUGUAGCAGUGAAAUGCGUAGAGAUGUGGAGGAAUACCGAUGGCGAAGGCAGCCCCCUGGGCCAAAUACUGACGCUCAUGCACGAAAAGCGUGGGGAGCAAAACAGGAUUAGAUACCCUGGUAGUCCACGCCCUAAAACGAUGUCAACUAGUUGUUGGGGAUUCAUUUCCUUAGUAACGUAGCUAACGCGUGAAGUUGACCGCCUGGGGAGUACGGUCGCAAGAUUAAAACUCAAAUGAAUUGACGGGGUCAUAGCUG
rnacentral:rRNA from 1 species